CUUCUUGCACUCUUCUAUAGCAUUCUCUAGUGGCAUGCUCUAACUGCCGUAGAGCUGCCCACUUUGGUCCAAUGUAGCAACUUUAACUGCCACACCCUGAUCUUCCCGCUCUGAAGCUGAAGGCCUCGUCUCUCCAUCAGGCAUCAGACGUUGCUGCACUCGCAUCCAAUCCAAGGACGCGGCAAUUGGCAGGAGGGAGAG